rnacentral:rRNA from 1 species
UACGUAGGGUGCGAGCGUUAAUCGGAAUUACUGGGCGUAAAGCGUGCGCAGGCGGUUCGUCGUGUCUCGUGUGAAAGCCCCGGGCUCAACCUGGGAAUGGCAUGGGAAACUGGCGAACUGGAGUGUGGCAGAGGGGGGUGGAAUUCCGCGUGUAGCAGUGAAAUGCGUAGAUAUGCGGAGGAACACCGAUGGCGAAGGCAAUCCCCUGGGCCUGCACUGACGCUCAUGCACGAAAGCGUGGGGAGCAAACAGG